rnacentral:rRNA from 1 species
UGGGGAAUAUUGGACAAUGGGCGCAAGCCUGAUCCAGCCAUACCGCGUGGGUGAAGAAGGCCUUCGGGUUGUAAAGCCCUUUUGUUGGGAAAGAAAUCCAGCCGGCUAAUACCUGGUUGGGAUGACGGUACCCAAAGAAUAAGCACCGGCUAACUUCGUGCCAGCAGCCGCGGUAAUACGAAGGGUGCAAGCGUUACUCGGAAUUACUGGGCGUAAAGCGUGCGUAGGUGGUCGUUUAAGUCCGUUGUGAAAGCCCUGGGCCCAACCUGGGAACUGCAGUGGAUACUGGACGACUAGAGUGUGGUAGAGGGUAGCGGAAUUCCUGGUGUAGCAGUGAAAUGCGUAGAGAUCAGGAGGAACAUCCAUGGCGAAGGCAGCUACCUGGACCAACACUGACACUGAGGCACGAAAGCGUGGGGAGCAAACAGGAUUAGAUACCCUGGUAGUCCACGCCCUAAACGAUGCGAACUGGAUGUUGGGUGCAAUUUGGCACGCAGUAUCGAAGCUAACGCGUUAAGUUCGCCGCCUGGGGAGUGCGGUCGCAAGACUGAAACUCAAAGGAAUUGACGGGGGCCCGCACAAGCGGUGGAGUAUGUGGUUUAAUUCGAUGC